UACGGAGGUGGCAAGCGUUGCUCGGAAUCACUGGGCGUAAAGGGUGCGUAGGCGGCGCGGUAAGUCGGGUGUGAAAUCUCGGAGCUUAACUCCGAAACUGCAUUCGAUACUGCCGUGCUUGAGGACUGGAGAGGAGACUGGAAUUUACGGUGUAGCGGUGAAAUGCGUAGAUAUCGUAAGGAAGACCAGUGGCGAAGGCGGGUCUCUGGACAGUUCCUGACGCUGAUGCGCGAAAGCGUGGGGAGCAAACAGG
rnacentral:rRNA from 1 species